UGCAAUUUCCCGUCCUGCUGCGCACUCUUGGCACUCCUGGGACCCACAGGAAUUCUUCCCCUUUAGGUCCCGGGGGAAGCGGCUGGGACCCUGCGGGAGGCGGGCGAGACCCCGCGGAGGAAGAGGGAAAUAUGGACGCACACACGUGGGAAGAAUGCCAUCUGAAUACUGAGGCAGAGAUUGGAGUUAUCUUGUCUCAAGCCAAAGAAUGCCAAGAACUGCUGGCCAUCUGCAGAAGCUAGGAGAAAGGUACAGAACAGUCUCCCUCUGAGCCCCUAAUGUUGCAGCAUCACAGGGUUCUCGUCGGAGUCGAAGAAUGAACCUUGCAGACACAAAAGGGUGACGUGAACAUUUAUUAAGUGAAGUGUUUGUAGCCACACUGAUGGAGCUGGAAGGAGCUGGGAGUUUUCUGAAGCAAGUGGCAUCAUCAGGUGGCGCCACAGGCUCAUGGAUGGGCCUUCCUCAGCUCCCGGGAUGGCCACCUUCUGUGGGAGGGUCGCAAGGAAGAGAAGGAGGAGGCUUCGGCUUCAGCACUUUUCCUUGGGAGUUCAUCAGGGCCGUCACUCAGCUGACAGGAGGUUGUGAUACUGGGUGAAGACAGAAAAAAGAGGAACCUGGACGUGGAGAGAGAGGUGUCUCACACGAGUCGGAAUGGCUAAAAUCAACAAGUCAGGAAACAACAGAUGCUGGCGAGGAUGCAGAGAAAGGGGAACCCUCCUACACUGUUGGUGGGAAUGCAAGCUGGUGCAGCCACUCUGGAAAACAGCAUGGAGGUUCCUCAAAAAGUUGAAAAUAGAGCUACCCGAUGACCCAGCAAUCGCACUACUGGGUAUUUACCCUAAAGAUACAAAUGUAGUGAUCCGAAGGGGCACGUGCACCCGAAUGUUUAUAGCAGCAAUGUCCACAAUAGCCAAACUAUGGAAGGAGCCUAGAUGUCCAUCAAGAGAUGAAUAGAUAAAGAAGAUGUGGUACAUAUAUAUAUAAUGGAAUACUAUGCAGCCAUCAAAAGAAAUGAAAUCUUGCCAUUUGCCACAACGUGGAUGGAACUAAAGGGUAUUACACUGAGCAAAAUAAAUCAAUCAGGGAAAGACAAUUAUCAUAUGAUAUCUCUGAUAUGAGGAAUCUGAGAGGCAAAGUGGAGGGCUCCAGGGGUAGGGAAGGAAAAAAUGAAUCAAGAUGAGAUUGGGAGGAAGACAAAACACAAGAGACUCUUAAUCUCACAAAACAAA